UUGCUUUCUUUUGUCUGGCGACCGGCGCACGGGUGAGUAACACGUAUCCAACCUGCCCUUUACUCGGGGAUAGCCUUUCGAAAGAAAGAUUAAUACCCGAUAGCAUAAUGAUUCCGCAUGGUUUCAUUAUUAAAGGAUUCCGGUAAAGGAUGGGGAUGCGUUCCAUUAGGUUGUUGGUGGGGUAACGGCCCACCAAGCCUUCGAUGGAUAGGGGUUCUGAGAGGAAGGUCCCCCACAUUGGAACUGAGACACGGUCCAA
rnacentral:rRNA from 1 species